rnacentral:rRNA from 1 species
AACGAACGCUGGCGGCAUGGCUAAGACAUGCAAGUCGUACGGAACUCGUAGCAAUACGAGUUUAGUGGCGGAAGGGUGAGUAAUAAAUGGGUAACGUACCUUGAACUUGGGAACAACAGUUCGAAAGGACUGCUAAUGCCCAAUGAAGUCGCUGAAUCGCAUGGUUCGACGACCAAAGCCGGGGAUCGCAAGACCUGGCGGGUUUUGUAGCGGCCCGA